GCCCUCUACUAUUAACGGAAUUCGCAGCGUGGCAUCUAAUCAAAACGCUCACGUUCAUUAUUACGGUGUAUGCGCUAUACUUCCGAGGCUCGUGAACGCACCGCCAGAUGCGUACUUCCGGGAAGUUUCGAACUUUCUACAAACUUUGACAUUUCUUAAUAUUUUCUUUUCUUAGCUCGGUCGAGUCUUAAAGGAGAGUCGAAGGGGAACAUGUCGGACCACGUGACUCACCUGUCAGGACGACCGGCGGCUUUCUUGGUGAACUUUGUCGCCUUGGAGCAAAAUGCUAACCUGCACGUUAGCAUCCUGACGCUGUGCCUGUGUUCCCGCCGCCAGAUGACAUCAUUAGAGCCUAAAUGUCAUGACGACGCGGCCGCAGGCUCACUUGGCAAGCAUCGUAACAUCAGGUGGCGUGGCGGUGAAUCACAGCAAUUAAGUAGUUUGUUGUUCUAACACACCACCGCCGACUGGCCGUGACGUCACCGCUAGGGGUCGGCCAAGCACCUCCGAUUUGGAAAAAGUGGUGAAAAAAGCCAGGUCCACAGCAGACAGGCCAGAACAUGAGGAUCCCAUUCCGUCACCAUGAGAGCCCAGCCACCUUGACUACUGUUCAUCUCCUCCUGUUGGGCAGGUCAAGCUAAUGAAGGCUCUGCUACAACUGGUGGUAUCUAAAAGGUCUCACUGUCAUUCUCCAUGAAGAUCUGCGGCAGGCCAGCAAGCAGAGGAGUUUGGGCGGGAUGGCCUUCACCAGGUUUUCCCGGGCUUGGGAGUAAGCGGCCCGAGGGAAGGGGACAUGCUGGGUCAAGGUCUGCAUCCUGGACCAGGCGAACCACAUCAGCAAAUUCUCAAGUGUAAGUUUGAAAUGGAACACUCACCUGUCUGCUUGAUUGACAUGAAUGAGUCCAAAGAACAAGUAAAGUAAAGCAAAGUAGACGUAAGGGCGAUGGAGCGAUGGUGAAGUGUACACACGAGAGUUGACCCAGAUUUACUAAGCCUGAUUAGCUGUCAUAAAUGCUUUAGACCAAUUAAAUAGUGCUUAUAU